UGCAUCGGCCGGGUAUCGAACCCUGGCCGCCCGCGUGGCAGACGAGCAUUCUACCACUGAACCACCGAUGC
rnacentral:tRNA from 1 species